rnacentral:rRNA from 1 species
AGCGUACACGGUGGAUGCCUAGGCAGUCAGAGGCGAUGAAGGGCGUGCUAAUCUGCGAAAAGCGUCGGUAAGGUGAUAUGAACCGUUAUAACCGGCGAUACCCGAAUGGGGAAACCCAGUGUGUUUCGACACACUAUCAUGUCAUGAAUACAUAGUGGCAUGAGGCGAACCGGGGGAACUGAAACAUCUAAGUACCCCGAGGAAAAGAAAUCAACCGAGAUUCCCCCAGUAGCGGCGAGCGAACGGGGAGGAGCCCAGAACCUGAAUCGGCUUGUGUGUUAGUGGAAGCGUCUGGAAAGUCGCGCAGUAAAGGGUGAUAGCCCCGUACACUAAAAUGCACAGGUCGUGAGUUCGAUGAGUAGGGCGGGACACGUGACAUCCUGUCUGAAUAUGGGGGGACCAUCCUCCAAGGCUAAAUACUCCUGACUGACCGAUAGUGAACCAGUACCGUGAGGGAAAGGCGAAAAGAACCCCGGCGAGGGGAGUGAAAUAGAACCUGAAACCGUGUACGUACAAGCAGUGGGAGCACCUUCGUGGUGUGACUGCGUACCUUUUGUAUAAUGGGUCAGCGACUUAUAUUUUGUAGCAAGGUUAACCGUAUAGGGGAGCCGUAGGGAAACCGAGUCUUAACUGGGCGUCUAGUUGCAAGGUAUAGACCCGAAACCCGGUGAUCUAGCCAUGGGCAGGUUGAAGGUUGGGUAACACUAACUGGAGGACCGAACCGACUAAUGUUGAAAAAUUAGCGGAUGACUUGUGGCUGGGGGUGAAAGGCCAAUCAAACCGGGAGAUAGCUGGUUCUCCCCGAAAGCUAUUUAGGUAGCGCCUCGUGAACUCAUCUUCGGGGGUAGAGCACUGUUUCGGCUAGGGGGCCAUCCCGGCUUACCAAACCGAUGCAAACUCCGAAUACCGAAGAAUGUUAUCACGGGAGACACACGGCGGGUGCUAACGUCCGUCGUGAAGAGGGAAACAACCCAGACCGCCAGCUAAGGUCCCAAAGUCAUGGUUAAGUGGGAAACGAUGUGGGAAGGCAUAGACAGCCAGGAUGUUGGCUUAGAAGCAGCCAUCAUUUAAAGAAAGCGUAAUAGCUCACUGGUCGAGUCGGCCUGCGCGGAAGAUGUAACGGGGCUAAACCAUGCACCGAAGCUGCGGCAGCGACGCUUAGGCGUUGUUGGGUAGGGGAGCGUUCUGUAAGCCGUUGAAGGUGGCCUGUGAGGGUUGCUGGAGGUAUCAGAAGUGCGAAUGCUGACAUAAGUAACGAUAAAGCGGGUGAAAAGCCCGCUCGCCGGAAGACCAAGGGUUCCUGUCCAACGUUAAUCGGGGCAGGGUGAGUCGACCCCUAAGGCGAGGCUGAAAAGCGUAGUCGAUGGGAAACAGGUUAAUAUUCCUGUACUUGGUGUUACUGCGAAGGGGGGACGGAGAAGGCUAGGCUAGCCGGGCGACGGUUGUCCCGGUUUAAGCGUGUAGGGGGUGUGACCUGGUAAAUCCGGUUGCAUAUCAACCCUGAGGCGUGAUGACGAUGCACUACGGUGCAGAAGUAGUUGAUGCCCUGCUUCCAGGAAAAUCCUCUAAGCUCCAGGUAACAUUAAAUCGUACCCCAAACCGACACAGGUGGUCAGGUAGAGAAUACCAAGGCGCUUGAGAGAACUCGGGUGAAGGAACUAGGCAAAAUGGUGCCGUAACUUCGGGAGAAGGCACGCUGGCAUGUAGGUGAAGUCCCUUGCGGAUGGAGCUGAAGCCAGUCGAAGAUACCAGCUGGCUGCAACUGUUUAAUAAAAACACAGCACUGUGCAAACACGAAAGUGGACGUAUACGGUGUGACGCCUGCCCGGUGCUGGAAGGUUAAUUGAUGGGGUCAGCCGCAAGGCGAAGCUCUUGAUCGAAGCCCCAGUAAACGGCGGCCGUAACUAUAACGGUCCUAAGGUAGCGAAAUUCCUUGUCGGGUAAGUUCCGACCUGCACGAAUGGCGUAAUGAUGGCCAGGCUGUCUCCACCCGAGACUCAGUGAAAUUGAACUCGCUGUGAAGAUGCAGUGUACCCGCGGCAAGACGGAAAGACCCCGUGAACCUUUACUAUAGCUUGACACUGAACAUUGAGCCUUGAUGUGUAGGAUAGGUGGGAGGCUUUGAAGCGUGGACGCCAGUCUGCGUGGAGCCAUCCUUGAAAUACCACCCUUUAAUGUUUGAUGUUCUAACUCUGCCCCAUAAUCUGGGGUGAGGACAGUGUCUGGUGGGUAGUUUGACUGGGGCGGUCUCCUCCCAAAGAGUAACGGAGGAGCACGAAGGUUAGCUAAUCACGGUCGGACAUCGUGAGGUUAGUGCAAAGGCAUAAGCUAGCUUGACUGCGAGAGUGACGGCUCGAGCAGGUACGAAAGUAGGUCUUAGUGAUCCGGUGGUUCUGAAUGGAAGGGCCAUCGCUCAACGGAUAAAAGGUACUCCGGGGAUAACAGGCUGAUACCGCCCAAGAGUUCAUAUCGACGGCGGUGUUUGGCACCUCGAUGUCGGCUCAUCACAUCCUGGGGCUGAAGUAGGUCCCAAGGGUAUGGCUGUUCGCCAUUUAAAGUGGUACGCGAGCUGGGUUUAGAACGUCGUGAGACAGUUCGGUCCCUAUCUGCCGUGGGCGUUGGAAGAUUGAGAGGGGUUGCUCCUAGUACGAGAGGACCGGAGUGAACGCACCACUGGUGUUCGGGUUGUCAUGCCAAUGGCAUUGCCCGGUAGCUAAGUGCGGAAAAGAUAAGCGCUGAAAGCAUCUAAGCGCGAAACUUGCCUCAAGAUGAGUCUUCCCUGGGCCUUUAAGGCCCCUGAAGGAACGUUUAAGACUAAGACGUUGA